rnacentral:rRNA from 1 species
CCUACGGGCGGCAGCAGUGAGGAAUAUUGGUCAAUGGCCGGAAGGCUGAACCAGCCAUGCCGCGUGAAGGUCAGUGCCCUAUGGGCGUUAAACUUCUUUUGUCCAGGGACAAAAUCAGGCGCGAGAGCCUGACCGAGGGUACUUGAAGAAAAAGCAUCGGCUAACUCCGUGCCAGCAGCCGCGGUAAUACGGAGGAUGGGAGCGUUAUCCGGAUUUAUUGGGUUUAAGGGGUGCGUAGGCGGGCCGUUAAGUUAGCGGUAAAAGCGCGGGGCUCAACCCCGGCGAGCCGUUGAAACUGGCUGUCUUGAGAUGUCGAGAAGUAUGCGGAAUGCGCAGUGUAGCGGUGAAAUGCAUAGAUAUUGCGCAGAACUCCGAUUGCGAAGGCAGCAUACCGGCGGCGGUCUGACGCUGAGGCACGAAAGCGUGGGUAUCGAACAGGAUUAGAUACCCCUGUAGUC